rnacentral:rRNA from 1 species
GAUGAACGCUAGCUACAGGCUUAACACAUGCAAGUCGAGGGGCAUCAGUUUGGUUUGCUUGCAAACCAAAGCUGGCGACCGGCGCACGGGUGAGUAACACGUAUCCAACCUGCCUCAUACUCGGGGAUAGCCUUUCGAAAGAAAGAUUAAUAUCCGAUAGCAUAUAUUUCCCGCAUGGGUUUAUAUUAAAGAAAUUCGGUAUGAGAUGGGGGUGCGUUCCAUUAGUUUGUUGGCGGGGUAACGGCCCACCAAGACGACGAUGGAUAGGGGUUUUUAGAGGAAGGUCCCACACAUGGGGACUGAGACACGGACCAAACUCCUACGGGAGGCAGCAGUGUGUAAUAUUGGUCAAUGGAGGCGAGUCUGAGCCAGCCAGGUAGCGUGAGGGAUGACUGCCCUAUGGGUUGUAAACUUCUUUUAUAUGGGAAUAGAGUGGUCAACGUGUGGAUUUUUGUAUGUACCAUAAGAAUAAGGAUCGGCUAACUCCGUGCCAGCAGCCGCCGUAA